rnacentral:rRNA from 1 species
UACGAAGGGGGCUAGCGUUGCUCGGAAUCACUGGGCGUAAAGCGCACGUAGGCGGACUCUUAAGUCAGGGGUGAAAUCCUGGAGCUCAACUCCAGAACUGCCUUUGAUACUGGGAGUCUCGAGUUCGGGAGAGGUGAGUGGAACUGCGAGUGUAGAGGUGAAAUUCGUAGAUAUUCGCAAGAACACCAGUGGCGAAGGCGGCUAACUGGUCCGGUUCUGACGCUGAGGCGCGAAAGCGUGGGGAGCAAACAGG